AUAGAUACCCGGUAGUCCACGCCGUAAACGAUGGAUACUAGCUGUUUGGUUGUAAGACUGAGUGGCUAAGCGAAAGUGAUAAGUAUCCCACCUGGGGAGUACGGGCGCAAGCCUGAAACUCAAAGGAAUUGACGGGGGCCCGCACAAGCGGUGGAGCAUGUGGUUUAAUUCGAUGAUACGCGAGGAACCUUACCAGGGCUUAAAUGUAGUUUGACCGCUUAGGAAACUAGGCUUUCGCAAGACAAAUUACAAGGUGCUGCAUGGUUGUCGUCAGCUCGUGCCGUGAGGUGUCAGGUUAAGUCCUAUAACGAGCGCAACCCCUGUUGUUAGUUGCCAGCGAGUCAUGUCGGGAACUCUAGCAAGACUGCCAGUGUAAACUGUGAGGAAGGUGGGGAUGACGUCAAAUCAUCACGGCCCUUACGUCCUGGGCCACACACGUGCUACAAUGGACGGUACAGAGAGCAGCUACCUAGUGAUAGGAUGCGAAUCUAUAAAACUGUUCUCAGUUCGGAUCGGAGUCUGCAACUCG
rnacentral:rRNA from 1 species